rnacentral:rRNA from 1 species
GCUGGCGGCGUGCCUAAUACAUGCAAGUCGAACGGUCUUUCUAUGGAAGCUUGCUUCCACUGAGAAGAUAGUGGCGAACGGGUGAGUAACACGUGGGUAACCCUGCCCAUAAGAGGGGGAUAACGAUCCGGAAACGGAUGCUAAUACCGCAUAGUUUUCUUGAUCGCAUGAUCGGGAAAGGAAAGACGGCCUUUGUGCUGUCGCUUAUGGAUGGACCCGCGGCGUAUUAGUUAGUUGGUGAGGUAACGGCUCACCAAGACGAUGAUACGUAGCCGACCUGAGAGGGUGAUCGGCCACAUUGGGACUGAGACACGGCCCAAACUCCUACGGGAGGCAGCAGUAGGGAAUCUUCCGCAAUGGACGAAAGUCUGACGGAGCAACGCCGCGUGAGUGAAGAAGGUUUUUCGGAUCGUAAAACUCUGUUGUCAGAGAAGAACAAGUUGGAGAGUAACUGCUCCAGCCUUGACGGUAUCUGACCAGAAAGCCACGGCUAACUACGUGCCAGCCGCUGC